rnacentral:lncRNA from 1 species
CAAUGAUAUCAGCUGGGCAUGGUGGCUCACCCUGUACUCCUAGCUCUCUGGGAGGCCAUGGUGGGCUGAUCACUUGAAGUCAAGAGUUCCAGACUAACCUGGCCAACACGGUGAAACCCCGUCUCUACUACAUUAUCACAUCUCAUCCUUUUGGCAAAGAUCAAGUGUAGGAAAAAAGAUAAAUUAACCGGGUGUGGUGGCAUACGUCUGUAAUCCCAGCUACACAGGAGUGUGAGGUGGGAGGAUGGCUUGAACCCCAGAGACAGAGGUUGCAGUGAGCCAAGAUCACACCACUGCACUCCAGCCUAGGUGACAGAGCGAGACUGUGCCUCAAAGAAAAGAAAAUAAAUGCAAUCAUAAAUAACCCGGCUGGGCGCGGCGGCUCACGCCAGAAUUUGUUCGUAGUAGUACAGAAAAUAAUGGUGGGACUUAAAAUUGAUGAUAUUUUAGAUUUGAUGGAAACUGUUAUACUCCAAUUAUUUUAUGUGAAGACAUGUUAUAGCCAUUAUAAUUAUAUUUUCAUGGAUUUCUUAAUAAUAUGAAGUAGACUGGGUGCAGUGGCUUACGCCUGUAAUCCCAGCACUUUGGGAGGCCAAGGCAGGUGGAUCACUUGACAUCAAGAGUUGGAGACCAGCCUGGCCAACAUGGUGAAACCCCGUCUCUACUAAAAAAAUACAAAAAUUAGCCAGGCAUGGUGGCACUUGCCUGUAAUCUCAGCUACUUGGAGGCUGAGGCAGGAGAAUCACUUGAACCUGGGAGGCGGAGGUUGCAGUGAGACUAGAUCACGCCACUACACUCGAGCCUCGGUGACAGAACGACUCUGUCUCAAAAUAAAACAAAAAAACAGAACCCUGAGAUUUGCAAAAGAAAAUAUGCAGAUGACCGGGCUCAUGCCUGUAAUCCCAGCACUUUG